GACGAACCGUGCAAACGUUAUUCGGAAUCACUGGGCUUAAAGCGCGUGUAGGCGGGAGGGCACGUCCGUUGCUGAAAUCCCCCGGCUCAACCGGGGAACGGGCGCGGAUACGACUCUCCUUGAGGGGCGUAGGGGGACCUGGAACUUCCGGUGGAGCGGUGAAAUGCGUUGAGAUCGGAAGGAACGCCCGUGGCGAAAGCGAGGUCCUGGACGGCUACUGACGCUGAGACGCGAAAGCCAGGGGAGCGAACGGG
rnacentral:rRNA from 1 species